CAGUAGCCGCGGUAAUACGAAGGGGGCUUGCGUUGCUCGGAAUGACUGGGCGUAAAGGGCGCGUAGGCGGCGAUCAAAGUCAGGCGUGAAAUUCCUGGGCUCAACCUGGGGGCUGCGUUUGAUACUUGAUUACUAGAGUGGGGAAGAGGGUCGUGGAAUUCCCAGUGUAGAGGUGAAAUUCGUAGAUAUUGGGAAGAACACCGGUGGCGAAGGCGGCGACCUGGUCCUUGACUGACGCUGAGGCGCGAAAGCGUGGGGAGCAAACAGGAUUAGAUACCCCAGUAGUCCCUGUCUCUUAUAC
rnacentral:rRNA from 1 species